rnacentral:rRNA from 1 species
UGGGCCCGACGGUUUGAUCAUGGCUCAGAUUGAACGCUGGCGGAAUGCUUUACACAUGCAAGUCGAACGGCAGCACGGGGGCAACCCUGGUGGCGAGUGGCGAACGGGUGAGUAAUACAUCGGAACGUGCCCAGUCGUGGGGGAUAACUACGCGAAAGCGUAGCUAAUACCGCAUACGAUCUACGGAUGAAAGCGGGGGAUCGCAAGACCUCGCGCGAUUGGAGCGGCCGAUGGCAGAUUAGGUAGUUGGUGGGGUAAAGGCUCACCAAGCCGACGAUCUGUAGCUGGUCUGAGAGGACGACCAGCCACACUGGGACUGAGACACGGCCCAGACUCCUACGGGAGGCAGCAGUGGGGAAUUUUGGACAAUGGGCGCAAGCCUGAUCCAGCCAUUCCGCGUGCAGGAUGAAGGCCCUCGGGUUGUAAACUGCUUUUGUACGGAACGAAAAAGCCUCUUCUAAUACAGGAGGUCCAUGACGGUACCGUAAGAAUAAGCACCGGCUAACUACGUGCCAGCAGCCGCGGUAAUACGUAGGGUGCGAGCGUUAAUCGGAAUUACUGGGCGUAAAGCGUGCGCAGGCGGUGAUGUAAGACAGAUGUGAAAUCCCCGGGCUCAACCUGGGAACUGCAUUUGUGACUGCAUCGCUGGAGUGCGGCAGAGGGGGAUGGAAUUCCGCGUGUAGCAGUGAAAUGCGUAGAUAUGCGGAGGAACACCGAUGGCGAAGGCAAUCCCCUGGGCCUGCACUGACGCUCAUGCACGAAAGCGUGGGGAGCAAACAGGAUUAGAUACCCUGGUAGUCCACGCCCUAAACGAUGUCAACUGGUUGUUGGUCCUUCACUGGAUCAGUAACGAAGCUAACGCGUGAAGUUGACC